rnacentral:rRNA from 1 species
AUACGGAGGGCGCGAGCGUUGUUCGGAAUCACUGGGCGUAAAGCGGGUGUAGGCGGCCUGUCAAGUCAGAUGUGAAAGCCCACGGCUCAACCGUGGAAGUGCAUCUGAAACUGGCAGGCUUGAGUACCGGAGAGGGAAGUGGAAUUCCUGGUGUAGGGGUGAAAUCCGUAGAUAUCAGGAGGAACACAGGUGGCGAAGGCGACUUCCUGGACGGAUACUGACGCUGAGACCCGAAAGCGUGGGGAGCAAACAGGAUUAGAUACCCUAGUAGUCC